rnacentral:rRNA from 1 species
GAUGAACGCUAGCUACAGGCUUAACACAUGCAAGUCGAGGGGCAUCAGGAAGAAAGCUUGCUUUCUUUGCUGGCGACCGGCGCACGGGUGAGUAACACGUAUCCAACCUGCCCUUUACUCGGGGAUAGCCUUUCGAAAGAAAGAUUAAUACCCGAUGGCAUAAUGAUUCCGCAUGGUUUCAUUAUUAAAGGAUUCCGGUAAAGGAUGGGGAUGCGUUCCAUUAGGUUGUUGGUGAGGUAACGGCUCACCAAGCCUUCGAUGGAUAGGGGUUCUGAGAGGAAGGUCCCCCACAUUGGAACUGAGACACGGUCCAAACUCCUACGGGAGGCAGCAGUGAGGAAUAUUGGUCAAUGGGCGUUAGCCUGAACCAGCCAAGUAGCGUGAAGGAUGAAGGCUCUAUGGGUCGUAAACUUCUUUUAUAUAAGAAUAAAGUGCAGUAUGUAUACUGUUUUGUAUGUAUUAUAUGAAUAAGGAUCGGCUAACUCCGUGCCAGCAGCCGCGGUAAUACGGAGGAUCCGAGCGUUAUCCGGAUUUAUUGGGUUUAAAGGGAGCGUAGGUGGACUGGUAAGUCAGUUGUGAAAGUUUGCGGCUCAACCGUAAAAUUGCAGUUGAUACUGUCAGUCUUGAGUACAGUAGCGGUGGGCGGAAUUCGUGGUGUAGCGGUGAAAUGCUUAGAUAUCACGAAGAACUCCGAUUGCGAAGGCAGCUCACUGGACUGCAACUGACACUGAUGCUCGAAAGUGUGGGUAUCANACAGG